GGAUUGUGGCUCAGAGGAAGAGCACUUGCCUCGCAUGUGUGAGGCACUGGGUUCGAUCCUCAGCACCA
rnacentral:tRNA from 1 species